GUUUCCUUUUAUGAGUAAUGGUUUUGACCCAGUCUCUGGAUUUUUCCCAUACAACCUGGGAAAACUCAGGGUGUGUCUCCUAUAUUCUUAUAAAUCCUUCUCCAUAUUUUCCAUCUCCAGCUUGGUUUUUUACCUGAUGACUGUGAGGCAUUUUAACAAUAUUUAUUACCUUCUGUCUCUGCAGCUUCUAAUAUCCUUGAGGCCGCCAAUACUUUACUCAGAGUAUCGUGUCUUACUCUUCCAAAGAUGGAAAGCCUUGUUGAGGAUGGACUUCGGAACUACAGGAGGAGCUGCCAAACUUUUCCAUCACUUAGACAGUACCUUAUAA
rnacentral:lncRNA from 13 species